UCCUCGAAUGAUGUUUAUCAAUUGCAUUUUUCUGGCAACCUCUUAUGUCAGAGACGCUUCGCGUCUCGAUGAUCUAAAUGGACUCUGACC
rfam:Rachicladosporium antarcticum strain CCFEE 5527 scaffold_40, whole genome shotgun sequence.